rnacentral:misc_RNA from 1 species
UUUCCGUAGGUGAACCAGCGGAAGGAUCAUUAAAGAAUUUGCACCGUCCUCUCGAGGAUGGGUCCUCCUCUAAACCGUGUAUACAUACCUUGGUUGCUUUGGCGGGCCGCCGCCUCGGCGUUGGCUUCGGCUGACUGUGCCCGCCAGAGAACCCCAACUCUUCUGUUUAGUAUUGUCUGAGUACUAUAUAAUAGUUAAAACUUUCAACAACGGAUCUCUUGGUUCUG